GACGAACCGUGCGAACGUUAUUCGGAAUCAUUGGGCUUAAAGGGCGCGUAGGCGGCGGUGUAAGUUGGAAGUGAAAUCCCAUCGGCUCAACCGUGGAAUUGCUCCCAGUACUGCAUCGCUCGAGGGGGAUAGGGGUUUGCGGAACUACCGGUGGAGCGGUGAAAUGUGUUGAUAUCGGAAGGAACGCCGGUGGCGAAAGCGACACACUGGAUCUUGUCUGACGCUGAGGCACGAAAGCCAGGGGAGCGAACGGG
rnacentral:rRNA from 1 species